rnacentral:rRNA from 1 species
UACGUAGGGGGCAAGCGUUGUCCGGAUUUAUUGGGCGUAAAGAGCGUGUAGGCGGCCAGACAGGUCCGUUGUGAAAACUCGAGGCUCAACCUCGAGACGCCGAUGGAAACCAUCUGGCUAGAGUCCGGAAGAGGAGAGUGGAAUUCCUGGUGUAGCGGUGAAAUGCGCAGAUAUCAGGAAGAACACCCGUGGCGAAGGCGGCUCUCUGGGACGGAACUGACGCUGAGACGCGAAAGCGUGGGGAGCGAACAGG